rnacentral:rRNA from 1 species
CUUGGCGUAAUACUCCAUGUCCUCUACGGAGAAAAGGUUUACCGCCUUGGGAGCGGCGAUCGUCCUAUCAGGUUGUUGGUGAGGUAACGGCUCACCAAGCCGAAGACGGGUAGCGGGUGUGAGAGCAUGACCCGCCGCAUCGGGACUGAGACACUGCCCGGACUCCUACGGGAGGCUGCAGCGACGAAUCUUCCGCAAUGGGCGAAAGCCUGACGGAGCAAUGCCGCGUGUGGGAUGAAGCGCCUUCGGUGUGUAAACCACUGUCAGGUUCCAGAAACACUGAUCAGAACCAAAGGAAGGGCCGGCUAACCUCGUGCCAGCAGCCGCGGUAAUACGAGGGGCCCGAGCGUUAGGCGGAAUCACUGGGCUUAAAGCGUGCGCAGGCGGAUUGGCAAGCGUUUUGUGAAAACCCACGGCUCAACCGUGGAACUGCAGGGCGAACUGCCAGUCUUGAGGCAGGUAGGGGUCAACGGAACUGU